UCGUGCUUCAAACCAAUGAUGCUUGAUUGUAAGAUUAAAGCGGAGGAGAAGGAGAUGAAUCAACCUGAAGAGUGCUCGACCUCCCAUUGUUCUUUCUAGAGUCGGGUCUACACCACCACCACCGGAACUUCUUCAAAUUUGGGCCGGUUUCUGGAUUGCACACUCCCACUGUUUCUACCCAGUACUUUCCUUUGGUUUUCGUCAGAACCAUGACAACAGUGAGAUCUAUGAGAAUGCUGUAAAAAUUAUGGAGAAAUAGUGGCUUGAAGAGCAAGAUGAGGAGACACAGCAACCUCCGGUUCCUUCUAGGCGAUUCAACUUCAGGUGAAGGAAUGGUAAUGGAAGCUUGCAGUUUGAGAAUAGUUAAAGGCUCCUUGCAUCAUUGAGAGGUCUUUUGGACAUUGAGAACUGGGAAGCAACAUGUGGACUGCAGUUUAAGAAUUAGCAAGGAUUAGAAGUUCUUGGUGCGUAUUUACUCUAGCAGUAAAACUUUAUUUGAAAUAAACUUAGCAAUGAAGUGACAUAGGCAGUAAACUGUAAUAGAUUGUUGUAGAUAAAAAUUGAAACGUGAGUGAGAAGGAUAAUUCUGAAUAUAAAGAUCACAGUUUGAGUAAAAUAGCAAGGUAAUAUGAUUCUGAUUGUCCU